rnacentral:siRNA from 1 species
UGGGCAAGUUUAUUUCAUUACACC